GAUAAACGCUAGCGGCAGGCUUAACACAUGCAAGUCGAGGGGCAGCAUAGAUUGUAGCAAUACAAUUGGUGGCGACCGGCGCACGGGUGCGUAACGCGUAUGCAACCUACCCGUCACAGGGGGAUAAUCCGGAGAAAUCUGGUCUAAUACCCAAUAACAUAUGGAUCGGCAUCGGUUCAUGUUGAAAUUUUCGGAGGUGACGGAUGGGCAUGCGUAGCAUUAGCUUGUUGGGGAGGUAACGACUCACCAAGGCGACGAUGCUUAGGGGGACUGAGAGGUUUUCCCCCCACACUGGUACUGAGACACGGACCAGACUCCUACGGGAGGCAGCAGUGAGGAAUAUUGGUCAAUGGGCGCAAGCCUGAACCAGCCAUGCCGCGUGCAGGAUGACGGCUCUAUGAGUUGUAAACUGCUUUUGUACGAGGGUAAAGUGGGUUACGUGUAACCUUUUGAAAGUAUCGUACGAAUAAGGAUCGGCUAACUCCGUGCCAGCCGCCGCCGUAA
rnacentral:rRNA from 1 species